GUUUUUUUCCAUUUCUUCAUAUAAAAAUUUUCAUAUUGCUGUUUCCAAAUUUAUUUUUCUUAAUUUAUCACUGUUCUGUCUACUAACAGUAGAUAAGGAUUUAUUUAGCUUAAUAAUACUGACCUUUAUAGUCUCAUCCUCACCUCUAUCCAAAGGUACACAUAGGUCCUUCACAGGUCAUUUUUGCACCACUCAACAAUAUUACAUCAUCAUUUCUUGUUCCAUCAUAAUUGAGAGUAUCUACUGAUUUCUUAUUAUGAAGAUAAUGGCAUCCAUGUUCCUACACUUCUUCCACAUUCGUCCUCCCUUCAUCUAUUCUGUUCUUGAGCGACCAAGCUGAGAGUGCCAGAAGUUGGGCAUUUUGUGCCCUCAGGGGGAAAUUACCACUUUUAUGUUUUGGAAAAUAUAAAUUCACUGAGGGAAUGGAUUGCCUAAAAGGGAAUAGGUCUCAGAACACCAGAAAAAGGAGAUGUGGUUUGACCCGGAAAGGAGAGAACCAGAUUUCCUCACUCCUAUUCAAGCCAAUUACAGUAACAGAGGUGAAUAUUUUCGUGAGAUCUCAGAUGCCAAUAUCCAGAAGUACACGGCUGGCUCCAGUAUUUUUAAAAAUGCACUUAAACCACAUCUUAGAAUUGGGCAACGAAAAGAAGACAUCAUUGGAUACUAUAUCUGACCUUUGCUUUUGCUACCAGCAACAUAAAGUAAUACCAUUUACUGCACAGGUCAAAUCGAAAAAUCAUGUGAAGAUGACAUGGCCCUUUUUUCUCGAGAGCUACCAGUCACACUUCCUAAAUCUUCAUACCCAGGGAGGGUGACCUUCACAGACUACAUGGUUCUCCAGCCAAAUAUAUGCACUUUCCCACUGGAUCCACCAAACAAAUAAAUAAUGGUAAAGCAAGAAAAUUCAAUAUCUUAACUACAAUAAAGUCAUCC
rnacentral:lncRNA from 1 species